rnacentral:rRNA from 1 species
CGCUGGCGGCGUGCCUAACACAUGCAAGUCGAACGAGAAAGGGAUUUCGGUCCUGAGUAUAGUGGCGUACGGGUGAGUAACACGUGAAUCAUCUACCCUCGAGUGGGGAAUAACCAAAGGAAACUUUGGCUAAUACCGCAUAAGACUACACGAGCUUCGGCUCGAGAAGUUAAAGGAGCAAUUCGCCGAGAGAUGAGUUUGCGCCCGAUUAGCUAGUUGGUGAGGUAAUGGCUCACCAAGGCGACGAUCGGUAGCUGGUCUGAGAGGACGGCCAGCCACACUGGGACUGAGACACGGCCCAGACUCCUACGGGAGGCAGCAGUAGGGAAUAUUGCACAAUGGAGGAAACUCUGAUGCAGCGACGCCGCGUGAGUGACGAAGGCCUUCGGGUUGUAAAGCUCUGUUCUCAGGGAAAAAGAAAGUGAUUGUACCUGAGAAGAAAGGAUCGGCUAACUUCGUGCCAGCAGCCGAGGUAAGACGAGGGAUCCUAGCGUUGUUCGGAAUCAUUGGGCGUAAAGCGAAUGUAGGCUGCCAUUCAAGUCAGUUGUGAAAGCCCCGGGCUCAACCCGGGAAGUGCUUCUGAUACUGUUUGGCUUGAGUACUG